UGAUUUAUAUAUAUAUAUAUAUAUAUAUGUGAGAAAUUUGUUAUAUGAAAGCACGUGGUUGGAUGUAUAAAAAUCAAAAAGGAGUGAAAAAACUGCAGAAGGCGUGUGUUAUAUGGAUAAAAAAUAUAUUUAAAUCGUUAUGUUAGAAAAAUAUGUUAUAA